GCCGCUAUCAACAAGUGCGUGGCCGCGGGGUGUCCGCCUCGGCUAGCGUCCGUCGGCUCCCGGAAGACCCGCCGCUCGCUCCUCCGAGUUUCCGUAGAACAGAUUGGGAGCCGAGGUGUUUUGGCUGACCAGGAGUCGGAAAGCAUUUCGGAUCAUGCUCGCCUCCCCCCGGGACGGGGCCAAGGUUCUAAUACCAAGUGAAAGUCCCCUUCCCAACCCGCACGUAAAGUUUCAGGCCCGCAAAAUUAUCAGGACUCCAUCACGUUGGUUAUAAAAUUUAUUGAUCUCUCAUUUAGGAAUUAAGAGUAAAACCUUGAAAAACCUGAAACAAAAUACCCCCUUCCCCACCACCCAAACGAAAUGUGAAUACAUUAGCGCGACGAAAUAUCAAACAGAUCACGGCAGAAAUCACCAACUCAACAGCCUAAAUGCGGACUGGACAGAAGCUGUCCCGCGGCCAGGGGCGGCGAGGCGGGAGACACACGCACACCCGGCUAUAAAUUAACAUCGGCCUCGGCUGCCGCGCCACUCCGCGCGGUCAGCGCCCCCCCACCCCCGCAAGAACCCACCAGGAAAACCGCUACAACGCGACAGGGGGAGGAGGCGUUGCAGUUCUCGGGCCAGCCUCACCCGAGAGUACGCUUCUCCUAUUCACUCACUCCUCGGCUAACAGCAAACUAACGAGACAACAUUUUCAAAUGCAACAGAAAAACCCAGGAACCCGGGAGGAGGAGGAGGGGGGGCUGCUUUUUCUCUGCAAACAUCACAGCGAUUCCCAGCCUACAAAAGGGGAGGGAGGGGCAGCGGCGAGGGGCAGGCGAGCUCUAGAAAGUCCCACUUCCGCUGCUCCGGACUUUUUGCUUUUGUACAAAACCCGACAGCUACGGCAAAACUUUCUGUCCUCCCCAUCAUCGGUACAAGGCAACGGUCCCAGGCAAGCAAAGCUAAACAACAAGGCGUCCCAACUCGGGGGUGCGGGGCGGGAUGGGGGCGGAGGGGCGGCGCGCGCAGGCGGGCGCUCAGAUGUGGGUCAGCGGCACCGUUCCGUUGACGGCAGUCCCAGCGCCCUGGUAGUGCUGGUGAACGCUGUGCAGGCGGCCGCCGGGCAGCGGCGAAGCGGCGUCAGCCGCGUCCCCGCCGGGUGGCAGCCGCCGUCCUGGCCAGAGCCUCGAGACUCGGAGCGGGACACUCACCCGCAUGUCAUGCUGUCUGCCAAAGACUAACGUCUCGGGAACCCGGGCUGCAGGGAGAGGGAACCCGGACAAUCGCCUUCGCCAGCCCAAGCGAGUGGCACAGCGUUUGAAACUCCCUGAGCCGCCCGAGGCGGCGGGUGGGAAGGAGUAGCCGGCCAGGCAGAAGUGGCAGAGACUGAAAUAAGGUGUCCGCGCAGUGUGGUCCCCCACCCCCAGCCUCGUGGAAAGAUGGGGAACCGAAAGAAAAGCGUAAAUCCUAAAUGUGACCAAAAAAAUACAAAAACCCAGGUUUUUAGCUCCUUAGUGCUAAUGCAAGACCAGGAGACCCUGGGACACCUGCACGCUGGGAACUCCCCCCUUUCCUGCACGAAUUUAAAAGUAUACUGUUGUGACUUGGGGGGGGGGUGGCGUAGAGCAGGCCAGCCCCCUCUGGGGUGGGCGGACCAGUGGCGCUAGAAUCCUGGCUCUCAGCAGGCAUCAUCCCCUCCAAGUUUGGAGUCCCUAAACCAGCCCCUUAAGUUUGGAUUCCACCUGGUCUACGUUCUCUUGCUUUUCUGGAUGGAAGGGAGCAAAUGUCCACGGUCAAGGGCUGCUGUCAUUUGAAUGGGUGUGCGGCUUACGGUUUUAAAGUAAACUAUCUGGAAUGGUUCUGUGUAUGAGUCGUGUGUGUGUGUGUGUGUGUGUGUGUGUGUGUGUGUGUGCGCACGCGCACGGGUGUGCACACUUAAGCUGACACACUGGAAAACGUGUCUCAGAAAACGGAAUGAUUUGGCAAUCUCCACCUGCACA
rnacentral:lncRNA from 1 species